UCCCUGGUGGCUCAGAUGGUAAAGUAUCUGCCUGUAAUGCAGGAGACCCAGGUUAGAUCCCUGGCUUGGGAA
rnacentral:tRNA from 1 species